GAUGAACGCUGGCGGCGUGCCUAAUACAUGCAAGUCGAGCGAACUGAUUAGAAGCUUGCUUCUAUGACGUUAGCGGCGGACGGGUGAGUAACACGUGGGCAACCUGCCUGUAAGACUGGGAUAACUUCGGGAAACCGAAGCUAAUACCGGAUAGGAUCUUCUCCUUCAUGGGAGAUGAUUGAAAGAUGGUUUCGGCUAUCCCUUACAGAUGGGCCCGCGGUGCAUUAGCUAGUUGGUGAGGUAACGGCUCACCAAGGCAACGAUGCAUAGCCGACCUGAGAGGGUGAUCGGCCACACUGGGACUGAGACACGGCCCAGACUCCUACGGGAGGCAGCAGUAGGGAAUCUUCCGCAAUGGACGAAAGUCUGACGGAGCAACGCCGCGUGAGUGAUGAAGGCUUUCGGGUCGUAAAACUCUGUUGUUAGGGAAGAACAAGUACAAGAGUAACUGCUUGUACCUUGACGGUACCUAACCAGAAAGCCACGGCUAACUACGUGCCAGCCGCCGCAGUAACAC
rnacentral:rRNA from 1 species